rnacentral:rRNA from 1 species
UUUCGAAUCAUUCACAAUGGGCGAAAGCCUGAUGGUGCGACGCCGCGUGAGGGAUGAAGGUCUUCGGAUUGUAAACCUCUGUCACCGGGGAAGAAACGCUUCAAGUUAAUAGCUUGAAGCCUGACUUAACCCGGAGAGGAAGCAGUGGCUAACUCUGUGCCAGCAGCCGCGGUAAUACAGAGACUGCAAGCGUUAUUCGGAUUCACUGGGCGUAAAGGGUGCGCAGGUGGCCAAGUGUGUUAGGCGUGAAAGCCCGGGGCUUAACCCCGGAAUUGCACCUAAAACUACAUGGCUAGAGCAUUGGAGAGGGGAGCAGAAUUCACGGUGUAGCAGUGAAAUGCGUAGAUAUCGUGAGGAAUACCAGAGGCGAAGGCGGCUCCCUGGACAAUUGCUGACACUCAGGCACGAAAGCGUGGGGAGCAAAAGGGAUUAGAUACCCCCGUAGUCC